rnacentral:tRNA from 1 species
ACUGUGGUGGUUCAAUGGUAGAAUUCUUGCCUUCCAUGUGUGAGACCUGGGCUCGAUUCCCAGCCAGUG